rfam:Trichuris suis scaffold6.9, whole genome shotgun sequence.
GUCGGCUAUGGUGACAUGUAUCCGGUGUCGGUUCCAGGCAAAAUCAUCGGCGCCCUUUGUUGCAUAUGCGGAGUGCUGGUCAUCGCUCUGCCCAUUCCGAUUAUUGUCAACAAC